rnacentral:lncRNA from 1 species
CAAGACAAAAAAUAUCUACAAGAAAAGCUAAGGAAGGAAACUGGAACCACAAAUAAUUAAAGAAAACAGCUAAGACAUAUUUGAUAUGAAAAUAAUUGAAAUUGAAAUGGAACUCUAUAUGGCUUUACAUGUAACAGAAGCAAACAACGCACAUUUGGAGGCAUUUACUAAGUUGAAAGCAUUUGAUAUUAUUUUAACAAGCUAACAGAGAACAAGAAAGAAUGAACGAGAAAACGGACCUCUACGAACUCAGAAGUUCUUUUAAAAAAACGAAGCUCGGUAACGGAAAUUCAAAUAAACAACUUGUCGGAGACCUCGACGACCUUGACGGGCUGGGCUCAACUUAAGAGACCAACAACGGUUAAAGAAACUGAAGCUGCUAUGUUUUAUAGUGAAAUAGCUGGUCGGAGAUGGCGCAACUCCAGCGAAACGUCGGGAAAACCAGUGACCUAGCGAAGAUAAAUUUACAUGGAUUCAAAACCGAUUUCCAGAAUGGGAUGGACAAGCCGGAGCUGCUGCGGUUUGCUAGAUCUUUUGCUGCGUUUUCUGCUAGUGUCGUUCCGCUAGGUCUAAAUGUUGGGAGAUGAUGGCUGCUUUCUUUUUUGUUUUCUCUUUUAGAAGAUGAAGCUAGCUCUUGAAUUGUGAAAGAGAAGCCCAGAAUUCGACGGGGGAGGGGGUUCUUCUUUGAUUAGGAAACUGCGAAUCUUUUUCUAGAAGUCUUCGGCUCUCAUUUUUCUAUUAUGAUUUUGUUGUGUAUUUUUCUGAAGAACGGCAGAUCUGUAAGGUUUUUUAGUUGUCAAUGUGUAUUGCCAUUUUCAGAAAUGGUGGAUCAGUGUUUAAUAGAGUGUGUGGUUGUAGGCGUUUUAGGUUGGCUUUUAUAGAGGGUAGGGAUUAGGUUAGGGGUAUUGGCCUAGGAAUUAUGGGCAUGGUAAUUAUUGACUAGGUCCAAAAAUUAGGCCUAAAGAUGGGUUGCUCGAGCCCAAGUUUUAUUCUUUCCUCGCGAAUGAGAUUAAAAUACGAUCUCAUUUAUUAAUUAGUCCUACUUAAUUAAAACAAAUGUUAAAAUAAGACUGACCGUUAAAAUAAACUAUUUUUUUGGUAUUUUUCAAAAUUAAAAAUAACUACAAAACAUUAAUGGAAUAANNNNNNNNNNNNNNNNNNNNNNNNNACUAGAAACAUGAAGAGUUUCUAGACAAAGAAUGACUAGACAUGUUUUUUGACCCGAUCCUUAUUUAGGAAAACUGAAAGCUAAAAGAAAGGACAAUGUGACCAAGCCCUGGUAUCUGAGUUGCCUACAUAUCCUUGGCUAUAAAGGAAUCAGACCACAUGUAGUUCAGAGAUGAAUAAGGUGAUGGAGUAUGCCGAGGUGGAGAGCCGAUUAAGGUUCCGUUUCGUUGAAGUUCCAGUCAGCAGUCCUGUUAUUACAUCUAAAUCAAAAAAGAAAAAACUAACUAACCCUAUCAGCUACGAGUUACAAGAUUCCUUUCUGUGAGUCUUCUGAAGCUUGAUCUUCAGUCUUGGUUGGUUCUUCAUGCGGACUCUGAUCUGAAUCUUGAUACUUGUUAGCUGCAGGUGUUGGUUCAAUCUUCUUCCAACUUCUCAGUUCAAGGAGGGACAAGCAAAGCUUGUUACUUCAAUUACGUCUUGAGCAGUCCACAUCUUUUCUCCGCUUCUACACUUUGAGUUCACUUCUUUUUCUUUUCUUCUUUUUUAUUCUAUUUUGGAUUGAGACUACUUCUUUUGGUCGUCUCACACCCUAUGCCUCGAGGUAAAACCUACUCAGACACCAAAACAAACAAACGCACGAACUUUUUCUACCCUAGUUUUCACUAGGAAAAUUUCGUGAGUUAUUGUAACAAAAUUCAAAACUACUUCUUUAUUGAAAGCAAUAAAAUCAGGAUUGUAUAUCCUUGGGAAAAGAGAUUAGGGAGUGGAUCCCUAUAUCUAUAAUGAAAUUAACUAGGGAUUAGGGCCCAAAAUUGGAAAGAUUGCCAGGUUAUGCUGGAAAGAUGACCGAGUUAUUUCGGAAAAGAAAAGGUCCUCGAGUUAUGCCGGGUAGGUCCAUGGGUUAUGUUGGGAAAGUCAUCGGGUUAUGCCAGAGAAGCAAAGGUCCUCGGGUUAUGCCGGGGAGGUCCACGGGUUAUGUCGGGGAGGUCAUCGAGUUAUGCCGAAAAAGAAAGGUCCUCGGGUUAUGCCGAGGAGGUCCACGGGUUAUGCCGGGAAAGGUCAUCGAGUUAUGCCGGAAAAUAAAAAGGUCCUCGGGUUAUGCCGGGGAGGUACACGGGUUAUGUCGGAAAAGUCAUCGGGUUAUGCCAAAAAAGAAAAGGUCCUCGGGUUAUGCCGGGGAGGACCACGGGUUAUGCUAGGGGGAGGUCCACGGGUUAUGCCGGGAAAGGUCCUCUGGUUAUGCCGGGGAGGUUCAUGGGUUAUGCCAAAAAAGGUCAUCGGGUUAUGCCGGAAAAGAAAAAAGGUCCUCGGGUUAUACCGGGGANNNNNNNNNNNNNNNNNNNNNNNNNNNNNNNNNNNNNNNNNNNNNNNNNNNNNNNNNNNNNNNNNNNNNNNNNNNNNNNNNNNNNNNNNNNNNNNNNNNNNNNNNNNNNNNNNNNNNNNNNNNNNNNNNNNNNNNNNNNNNNNNNNNNNNNNNNNNNNNNNNNNNNNNNNNNNNNNNNNNNNNNNNNNNNNNNNNNNNNNNNNNNNNNNNNNNNNNNNNNNNNNNNNNNNNNNNNNNNNNNNNNNNNNNNNNNNNNNNNNNNNNNNNNNNNNNNNNNNNNNNNNNNNNNNNNNNNNNNNNNNNNNNNNNNNNNNNNNNNNNNNNNNNNNNNNNNNNNNNNNNNNNNNNNNNNNNNNNNNNNNNNNNNNNNNNNNNNNNNNNNNNNNNNNNNNNNNNNNNNNNNNNNNNNNNNNNNNNNNNNNNNNNNNNNNNNNNNNNNNNNNNNNNNNNNNNNNNNNNNNNNNNNNNNNNNNNNNNNNNNNNNNNNNNNNNNNNNNNNNNNNNNNNNNNNNNNNNNNNNNNNNNNNNNNNNNNNNNNNNNNNNNNNNNNNNNNNNNNNNCGCCGGAAAAGAAAAAAAAGUCCUCAGUUAUGCCGGGAAAGUUUAUCGGGAUAUGCUGGAAAAAAAAGGUUCUUGGGUUAUGCCGGGGAGGUCCACGGGUUAUGCCGGGAAAGUUCAUUGGGUUAUGCCUGAAAAGAAAAAACAAAGUCCUUGGGUUAUGCCGGGGCGGUCCACGGGUUAUCCCGGGAAAGUUCAUCGGGUUAUGCCGGAAAAGAAAAAGGUCCUCGGGUUAUGCCGGGGAGGUCCACGGGUUAUGCCGAAAAAGUUCGUCGGGUUAUGCCGAAAAAAAAAGGUCCUCGGGUUAUGCUGGGGAGGUCCACGGGUUAUGCCGGGAAAGUCAUCGUGUUAUGCCGGAAAAAGAAAAUGGUUCUUGGGUUAUGCCGGGGAGGUCCACGGGUUAUGCCGGGAAAGUAAUCAGAUUAUGCCGGAAAAGAAAAAGGUCCUCGGGUUAUGCCGGGGUUCAAUUAGGGAGUGGAACCCUAGCUUGGAAAAGACUACCAGGCUAUACUGGAAGCGACUAGGGGAGUGGUACCCUAUGUUGGAAGAGAUUACCAGGUUAUGCUGGCAUCAGCUAGGGAGUGGGACCCUAUGCUACCAUGAUUUUGAAUUUUCUUCUUCUUUAUUUGCAUUUCAUUUUUUUUAAAGAAAAUGAGUAAAGGCGGGAAAUUUUUUUGGAGAAAACUUCCAUUUUGGAGUUGUUAUUGCGAAGCUGUUUUUAUCCCUUGCGCCAUUUCUUUUUGGUUGCACCUGCUUCUUGCAAGGUUGCUUUGGAUUGCACAUAUUUUUUUUUCAAACAAAGAACAAUUUGUUAGUUUGAAACAGUGGUUGGUUUUGUGGCCUUGAGCGUUUCAGUCACUUGAUCUCGGCGCGAAUUCUUUGAUGAAGAUUUCAACUGAAACUGUUUGUUCCCUGAGGACCGAUUUCAUUUAUGACCCUGGAGAACCUCUACCAUUUCCAUACUUUGCCAUGACAGUUGGUCAUGUGGAACUUAACCUUUUCGACUUUAUUUCGCCUUUGUAGGCCUUUCAGUUCUAGCUCUCUCUUUUUUUCAAUUUUUAGCUUUGGAGCAUUAGGAAACUUUUUGGCUCCUCAAACUUGCUGCAAUGGCUAGUUGUGUGGGACUUAACCUUUUUCCAACUUUAUUUCGCCUUUAUAGGCCUUUCAUUUCUGGCUUCUUUCUUCCAACUUUAGUUUCAGAGCAUUUGGGAUCCUUGGCUUCUCAAAUCUUUGCCGAGACGGUUAGCCACGUGAGACUCAACCUUUUCAACUUCAUUUGCCUUUAUAGGCAUUUCAUUUUGAUUUUCUCCUUCCGAGAGUUUUGAAUUCGAAGCAUCGGCCGCCAUGGCCAGUCGAGGUCGACUUAAUGCCCCUAACAAGGUUGGGUGCCUUUUUGCAUAUUAGCUUGUAUCAAAUGAGAACCUUGUAAAUCAGUCUUACCAUCCUUUCUUUGUCUUAGUUUCGGAAUAGAGUUAGACCGAAAGGGAUUUAAAGAAAAGCAAACAAUGGAAUGUACAAUGAAUUUAAACGAGAGGUAUCCCUUUUGGGGAGAAGAAAGAAUGACUUAUUUGGAGUGCAUGCGGACUUCAAUGAACAUGACAUGCCUUUUGGAUUGGAUGCAUGAUCUGUGUAAACUGUCCGACUCUCAUAAAUUCAUCACAACUUUGCCUUGGAACCGAGGAACCUCGCGAGGACUCUAUUGAUGCUGAUGGUUGCGAGGAUCCUCUUUUCGAUCAGGGGCGCCAUUUGCGGGUUUUCAUGAGCUGACCUCUCUCAUUUCUCUUCUCACCAUCGCCUUAUAGUACUCUUUGCGAGUUUUCACUAACAAGACUCUCUCAUUUUCAAUUUCUCUGCUUACCAUCGCCUUACGGUGCCCGCGUGGAUUUUCACUAAUAAGACUCUCUCAUUUUUUAUUUCUCUCAUUUUGAUUGCAUCAUAUCCAAGUAGUUGCAUUCUCCGAUCCUUGAACAUUCUCACCGAUUGAUCAGAAGGACUUGAAAGGUUUUGCACUAAAUUACAACUUUGGAACCAUUCAGGCGGGAUCAUCGCCGAACCAUUACAACAUCUGCCCCGAUUUCACUUUUGGGGGAAUUUGAAUUUUUGUUUUGGUGUGACUGAACUCUAGAGAGAGGCUGCCUACGUAUCCUUUCGGAAUCAAGUCGAACGUAGUUCAGGGAAACUUUUUUUUUAUCUUUUUUUGUUUUUUCUUCUGUUUUGUUUUUCUCUUUCUUUUUCCUUUCCUUUUCCUCUCUUUUAAUUUCAUUUUCUUUGUUUUUUCUUCCUUUUUUUUUCUUCUAGUUCAUUUUUUUCAUUUUUCCAAUUCUUUUUUUUUCUUUUUUUCAUUUUUUUUCAAUGACACUUUCAAGUUCCAAAGAGGGUAGUCAAAGAACGGUAACCGGCUCAAAGGGUUGAUAGUGUUUGGGUAGAGAGAAUAAAAGCCUUUUUCAUCCCAACCGGAGAACAUUAAUAUUAUAUAGAGGAUCCAACAUAGUACCUUUUGGCUGCAUUUGCAUUGACAACUGUUUCAAGGACAUUCCUUUCGACGUGUCCCAAAUACAAUGCACUCUUUUGGCAGUACUCUUGUUGCAAUGUAUGGACCUUUCUAAUCUGGAACCAAUUCCCUUCAGCUGUUCCGACUCCUUGUUUUGUUUCCUUAACUUAUCUUCAUUGUAAUCUAAUUCUUGAUUCAUUAUUUCGAGGUCUGACAGCGUUUCAGGAUCUGGGCAUGAAGUCCACAAGCAUGUCAUGCUAUUGAAAUCUGCAUUUAACAGAACUAAAAAGAGAAUGAGAAAAAUGACAAGAUUAAGAAAAGAGACAUUCCUAGAAAAUGAAAUAUUAAUUUCGUUUGAUUUUUGAUUGAUUUUUUUUUUCAAUUUUUUAAGAUAGAAGGGUUUACAUCGGAAAGUAAGACAAUAAGGUAAAACAUCCGGAUCACACCUUGAGAUAAUCCGAACACAGAAAGGAUAGAAAGACUAGCUACCGAGACUCCCAUCAGAUGGGGAACUUUCAUGCUUGGCGACCAUUUUUUGGCUUUUCUUCUGUCUCGACAAUGGCUGCAAUGGCUUUGUGCUGGGUAAAAUUCCUCACCUUCACAAAUCAUUCCGACUAUUGGCCCGUUGUUAUGGGUAGGCAACAAAUUGUUCAUCAUAUUAGGAGCUUCUUCAUCCAGAAAAACGAUUCUUUCAGCUUCAAUCAAAUCUUCAACUGCCAUUUUAAGGGUCCAAUAGUCCUCCGUACUGUGUCCCACUGCACCAGAGUAGUGCGAGGGGGACUCGGGGUUUGGCUAGUUCGGGGUCACUAGCUGCAAUAGAUCUAGCCUGAUUAGCUUUUGGGACAAGCUUGAAUACGAUUCACCAAUAGGGGUGAACUGAUUCUUUCUGAAAGGCUCUCUUGGGCGAGAAUUGUAUUGGGGAUCAUUUGGUUGAUGAUUAUAUAGAGCUUGGUAAGGAUGAGCAUUUCUGGGAGGUGGAGCUUGGUUUUGUGUAUAAUGUUGUGGCUGCGCGUAAUAUUACACGCUCAUCACCACAUAUGGAGGCAGUGCCAUGGCAUAAGUACCAUUUUGAAGGGGAUAAUAGUGUGGUGGGACUAUUGGAGGCACAUAUGACUGGCUGAAUGACCUGCGGGCCCCCCUCGAGCUUGAAACUAUCAUGUCUCCCUCCUCAACCCCAUUUCCAUUUGUCAAACCCUCUAAACCAUUUUGAAAAUCUGAUGAUGGGGCUUUAAAAGCAGCAUGACUCAAGAUUCGGCCUGUUUUUAGACCGUUUUCAACCAUUUCCCCAAUUUUGAUAGCCUCAGCAAAUGACUUUCCCAUAGCGGACAUCAUGUUUUGGAAGUAGUCCGCCUCUUGGGCCUGUAGAAAGACUGUGACCAUUUCAAUUUUAUCCAUUUGAGGCUUUACCCUGGCAGGUUGCUCACGCCAUUUGACAGCAUAUUCGCGAAAGCUUUCCACAUUUUUCUUUUUUCAUAUUGGACAAAGUGUUUUUGUUGGGAGCGAUGUCCACAUUAUAUUGGAACCGACGGAUAAAAUCUCGAGCCAUAUCGUCCCACAUAUGCCAAUGAGUAAUUGCUUGAUCCGUGUACCACUUAGAAGCGAUUCCAAUGAGGCUUUCCCCAAAAUAGGUCAUUAGCAGCUCCUCUUUUCCACCAUCACCCCACAAUUGGUUACCGUAUCAUUUCAGAUGAGCGGCCGGGUCUCCAUGCCUGUCGUACUUUUCAAAUUUUGGCGUCUUGAAACCAACUGGAAAGUGGACAUGGGGAAACAUACAGAGGUCAGAGUAUGAGACACUAUUUUGCCACUCAAACCUUGCAUGUUUUUUAGGCUUUGUUCCAAGUUCUUCAUCUUCUGAGCCAUUUCCUCUUGCUCGGGAUUUUUAACAACCUUUUUUUACCCCACCGAGAGAUCAUAUUGCGGAGGUUGAGUGAAAGGGUAUGGGUUCACAUAUAUUUCUGACUGAAGUUGUAGACCCUGAAAGGUGAACAUUGGAGGCUCAAUAUACGACUGUGGUAAAGUUGGUUGUGCCCUGAAACCUGGCACCUAGGGGCAAACCAAAAAAGGCAUGCCAGGAUCAUUAGAGGGCAUUGGAAGGUGCCCUCAUGGAAUGAGAAAUUUUGGCACAGGGGCAUUGGUAACCUGUCCUGACCUGGGGAUCAGUUCAGGGAACCCAGGGAUGGUACUUGGCGGUUUCCUACCAUUGGACCAGGCGUCCCACAUUUCCAAUAUGCGGAGACGCAACAUCUUAUUCUCUUCAGCAAUUGUUGAUUCUAGCUGCAGAAUAGCCGAUGUUGGGCUAUCCUCAAGAUCGAUGAUUGGUAGAUUGCUUGCGGAGGCCAUCUGUGCCUUUGGAUUUUGUGAAGGAGGGGAGACUAGACUACAACAAAACCAACCACAAAAACCUGGCUAGUUUGCAUAUCUAACAACCUUGUUAGUUUUGAAACACUUAACAUAUAGGAAAUCGCUCGUUGGGAUGCAAUGCACCUAACAGUUAAACGCUUAUACCAUGUGUUUGAACGGUUGCAUGUUUUAUCCCGACCUUAACUAGCCAUUUUCACUUUGUACCUCUAUUCUUCAUUUCUGCCUCUCUUUAAUCACUCUUGAUUUUUCUUUCAUCUCACCGCUCUUUUAUUUUUGCACUCUCUUUUUCUCUUUUGUUUGUCACUCUUUAUUUCUUGUCGCUCCUUUUUUCCGCUCUUUUCUUUCUUUUCCACUCAAUUUUUUUUCUGUCUUUUCCUUUUCUCUUUUUUUUAACUCAAUUUUUCUUUCUCUUUUUUUUUUCAAUUUAUUUUUCACUCAAUUAAUUCUGUGGUUACGAUCGAAUACAAUGGGGAUUGCUUACGUAUCACGACCCCGCAUGAAUCAGAUCUUGCGUAGUUCGGGAAGAUUGAGAAUGAAGUAAAUAAACUAACUUUUUUUUGGUUAGAAUUUUUGAAAGAAAUGCUUUAAAAGAAGAAAGGAAAUAUUUUUUUUUGAUUUUUUGAAUUUUAAUUUUUGUUUAUUUCUUGAAAGAAAGACUUCUAAAAAAAAUCAUUUGCUUUUGAUUUAAACUUUGGGAAUUUUAAAAAGUACAAAAAUAAAAUAUUUUUGUUUGAAUUUUUAUUUGUUUUCUCUUUUUCUAAAGAAGAAAGAAAAAAUAUUUUUGGAUUUUGGAUGUUGGCUCUUAAUUUUCGAAAGAGGGACUUUUUUGAGAAACAUAUUUUGGAUUUCUGAGUUUUUAUUUAUUUACAAAAAUACUUCAAAAGAAAAGUGAAUUUUUUUUUGGACUUCAAUUUUUCAAAACAUUUUUUUUGUUGACAUUUACGAAAGAAAUACUUUUAAAGAAAGAACCGAAUAUUUCCCCUUUUUUGGUUUUUUUUUAUUUUUUUGAAAAAAUACUUCAAAAUAAAGGAAACCCGUAUUUCGGAUUUUUAUUCUUUUUGAUUUUGAUUAUAUUUCUUUUACCAUAUGAAAGACUUCAGAAAGAAGGAAACUAUUUUUGAGUUUAAAAAAAACUUUUUUUUUCGAAUUUUCUAAGGAAAGAUGUCUAAAAGAAGGAAUUAAAAGAGAAUAUUUUUUUGGAUUUAUUUUUGGAAAAUUGGGGCCGGAACCGAUGAGGUUUGCCUACGUAUCUCACAUUCGGUGAGAAUCAGGCCCGCGUAGUUCGGUCAGUUCUGACAGAAUAAGGGAAACAUGUCACUUGAAUAUUUUGGCUCAUUUUGAAAUAACUUUUCUUUUCCAGAAUAUCGGCAGAGUUUCAGAAUUUUCUAGAUACCUACCUCACUUUUUUUUUUGAUUUUUUUUUAUUUUCUUUUUUCUUCUAGAAGUCGGUCAACAUGCAAGCCGAAUCAAAUAAUUGUACUAGUAGCACGUAAGAUGUAUCAAGAUAGUCUUUUUAAUUUGGGUACACCUGUCCUAGACGGACCCAACCCCUGUGUUGAGUCCCCAAAGUCAAAUGCACAUGAUGCAACCAAAUGUUCCUACUAGGGAUCCGGCAUGAGGCUGAGUUAUUCUAGGCUUUAAAACCUAGGUAUGUUGUUCUAGACUUGGUGCACCCAAGUGGACAACUCGAGCUGAGGGGGAGCUACGUACCGGGAACCAAAUGGCCAUCCGGCUUUGUAACUUGUCCGAGCCUCUUUCUAAUUCAAGGUAUGACACUAACAGAAGGUGGAGUCACGCCAGCAUGCACAUCCCCGAAGAUGAGAAGAGAAGUGUUUCGUAACAGUUUAAAUACAAUUCAAUUAAUAUCAAAGAGGUGAAAAGCGACAUUUAGCAUAUUAGGCCCAAACAUGUAAUAAAAAUCAGAUAAUAAAUAAAAGCCAAUUAUAAAAGUUAUUCUAAGCUCUAAUUCUUGAACCCUGAACCAAAGUUCUGGGUUUUGAUCCCCAGCAGAGUUGCCAGAGCUGUCACACCUCCUUUUUAUACACCUGAGGGCGAUAUAAAGGAGUUUUUCCAAUGUAAGUGACAUUAUUCGAAAUGGGACUAUGUAAUUUAUUUCAGAGUCACCACUUGGGAUAUUUAUUAUGGUGUCCCAAGUCACCGGUUUAUUUUAUGUCCCAAAUCGAGGAAAUUUUGACUUUUCUUUUGAAGUCUGCAUACCAGAAAUUCUGAAUAAGGAAUUUUGUUAACCCGACGGAAGGUAUUAGGCACCACCCCAUUCCUUGGUUCUAGCACGGUCGCUUAACCCAUUAUAAUUGGCCUAUUAUCUGAUUUUAAUACAUGUUUUAGCCUAUGGUAUAUUUUAACUUAUUUAAACCGCUUUUAAUUAAUUUAGGAAGAUUCAACGUCAUCUAAAACAUGUCUUGAACCACGUCACAUAAAUGCACCCGCGGUCCCCGACACAUUUUAUCUAACGUUGUUGAGAUUUGAAUUUGGGUCACAUAAAUGUACACCCGAAUUUAGGAAUAAGGUAUCAUGACUAUGUCAUGGUAACUGUACCGAUAGUCACGGUCUUUUAUUAUUAAUUGCGCCUAAAGUAAGCUAUGAUAUUCAUAAUUAUUGAAGAUUGUUGUAAUGCCAUGCUUUAUGCAUCAAAUUUUAUUAGGGAGUAAAUAGGAUGAUUAACAAGAUCUAUUUUAUCUCAAAUCAAUCGGAGCCUCAAGUUAGACUAAUUAAGUUUAGAGACCAAACAUACGGUCUAAAUAAGCCUUCCUUAUUAUACUACAAUUUGCCUAUUCCCAAAACUAUACAUAUCUCAAAGAAUUAUUGAGGCCAAAUGAAUAUGAUACAAUAAAAAGGUCCAAGACAGCAAAUAUCUACAAGAAAAUCUAAGGAAGGAAACUGGCACCACAAAUAAUUAAAGAAAACAUCUAAGACAUAUUUGAUAUGAAAAUAAUUGAAAUUGAAAUGGAACUCUCAUGGAUUUAUAUGUAACAGAAGCAAACAACGCACAUUUGUAGGCAUUUACUGAGCUGAAAGCAUUUGAUAUUAUUUUAACAAGCUAACAGACAGCAAGAAAGAAUGAACGAAAAAAUGGACCUCUACAAACUCAGAAUUUCUUUUAAAAAACGAUGCUCGGUAACGGAAAUUCAAAUAAACAACACACUGGAGACCUCGACGACCUUGACGGGCUGGACCCAACUUAAGAGACCAACAGCGGUUAAAGAAACUGAAGCUUCUACAUUUUAUAGUGAAAUAGCUGGUCGGAGAUGGCGCAACUCCGGCAAAACGCCGGGAAAAGCAGUGACCUAGCGGAGAUAAAUUUGUAUGGCUUCAGAAUGGAUUUCCAGAGCGGGAUGGAGAAGCCGGAGCUGCUGCGGUUUGCUAGAUCUUUUGCUGCGUUUUCUGCUAGCGUCGUUUCGCUAGGUCUCAAUGUUGGGAGAUGAUUGCUGCUUUCUUUUUUGUUUUCUCUUUUAGAAGAUGAAGCUAGCUCUUGAAUUGUGAAAGAGAAGCCCAGAAUCCGACGGGGGAGGGGGUUCUUCUUUGAUUAGGAAACUGCGAAUCUUUUUCUAGAGGUCUUCGACUCUCAUUUUUUUGUUCUCAUUUUGUUGUGUAUUUUUCUGAGGAACGACAGAUCUGUAAGGUUUUUUAGGUGUCAAUGUGUACUGCCAUAUUCAGAAACGGUGGAUCAGUGUUUAAUAGAGUGUGUGGUUGUAGGCGUUUUAGGUUGUCUUUUAUAGAGGGUAGGGAUUAGGUUAGGGAUAUGGGCCUAGGAAUUAUGCGGUUGGUAAUUAUAGACUAGGUCCAAAAAUUAGGCCUAAAGAUGGGUUGCUCGAGUCCAAAAAUUGGACUACUUAAGUAAAACAAAUGUUAAAAUAAGACUGACCAUUAAAAUAAACUAUUUUUCUGGUAUUUUUCAAGAUUAAA